GUCUGACGGAGCAACGCCGCGUGAGUGAUGAAGGUUUUCGGAUCGUAAAGCUCUGUUGUUAGGGAAGAACAAGUGCAAGAGUAACUGCUUGCACCUUGACGGUACCUAACCAGAAAGCCACGGCUAACUACGUGCCAGCAGCCGCGGUAAUACGUAGGUGGCAAGCGUUGUCCGGAAUUAUUGGGCGUAAAGGGCUCGCAGGCGGUUUCUUAAGUCUGAUGUGAAAGCCCCCGGCUCAACCGGGGAGGGUCAUUGGAAACUGGGAAACUUGAGUGCAGAAGAGGAGAGUGGAAUUCCACGUGUAGCGGUGAAAUGCGUAGAGAUGUGGAGGAACACCAGUGGCGAAGGCGACUCUCUGGUCUGUAACUGACGCUGAGGAGCGAAAGCGUGGGGAGCGAACAGGAUUAGAUACCCUGGUAGUCCACGCCGUAAACGAUGAGUGCUAAGUGUUAGGGGGUUUCCGCCCCUUAGUGCUGCAGCUAACGCAUUAAGCACUCCGCCUGGGGAGUACGGUCGCAAGACUGAAACUCAAAGGAAUUGACGGGGGCCCGCACAAGCGGUGGAGCAUGUGGUUUAAUUCGAAGCAACGCGAAGAACCUUACCAGGUCUUGACAUCCUCUGACAACCCUAGAGAUAGGGCUUUCCCUUCGGGGACAGAGUGACAGGUGGUGCAUGGUUGUCGUCAGCUCGUGUCGUGAGAUGUUGGGUUAAGUCCCGCAACGAGCGCAACCCUUGAUCUUAGUUGCCAGCAUUUAGUUGGGCACUCUAAGGUGACUGCCGGUGACAAACCGGAGGAAGGU
rnacentral:rRNA from 5 species